rnacentral:rRNA from 1 species
UACAGAGGUCCCAAGCGUUGUUCGGAUUCACUGGGCGUAAAGGGUGCGUAGGUGGUGGGGUAAGUCGGAUGUGAAAGCUCGGAGCUCAACUCCGAAAUGGCAUUGGAAACUACCCUGCUAGAGGGUCGGAGGGGGGACUGGAAUUCUCGGUGUAGCAGUGAAAUGCGUAGAUAUCGAGAGGAACACCAGUGGCGAAGGCGAGUCCCUGGACGACUCCUGACACUGAGGCACGAAAGCUAGGGGAGCAAACAGG